rnacentral:rRNA from 1 species
CCCUUAGAUGUUCUGGGCCGCACGCGCGCUACACUGAUUCAUGCAACAAGUUUUGUCCUUGGCUGAUAGGCCUGGGUAAUCUUUGAACGUGAAUCGUGAUGGGGAUAGAUGAUUGCAAUUAUUCAUCUUCAACGAGGAAUUCCUAGUAAACGCAAGUCAUCAGCUUGCAUUGAUUACGUCCCUGCCCUUUGUACACACCGCCCGUCACACCUACCGAUUGAAUGGUCCGGUGAAAUCUUCGGAUCUGAGAGAUGUCUGAUUAAUUUCGGACGCCUUUUGGAAAAGUUGCUUAAACCUUACCAUUUAGAGGAAGGUGAAGUCGUAACA